rnacentral:lncRNA from 1 species
NNNNNNNNNNNNNNNNNNNNNNNNNNNNNNGGCCUCCCAAAGCGCUGGGAUUACAGGCGUGAGCCACUGCGCCCAGCCUGUCUUUGGGGUUUCAUCAUAAAUGAAUGACGUAUGUCUUAAACUUCAAUAAACCUCAGUGUUCUUACAACAUAUUUCUUAAUAUAUCAAUCUGACUUUUAAAAACUUGCUGAGCAACCCAAUUGACUUUAUUUUUGGCAUUUUUGUUUUUAAAGCUAAAGAGAAACAAACAUUAUGCCACAAAGUAAAUGAAAAAAUAUUUUUGUAUUCUGGAAGCUGAAUGUUGUUUUCUAACAGCACACUGGGUGGGACUUGGGCUAGACGGAACCAGAGAGGUCCAGGAUGACUCCUGGCUCUACUAUUUCCUGUCUGUCACCUGGGGCCAAUGCCUUCAUCUUUCCAGGUCUGGGCUCCUCACCAGGAGCACAAACCACCCAUGGAGUCGCAGGAAUUCUGAAAAUCCAUCCAGAUGUCUGCAGUGCCUCUUCAGGAAGCCCCAGAGCCUUUAAGAGCAAACGCUGCCCUUCAACCAAUGCCCUUGGUAUGUCCCAGGCUGCUGUUUGUGCUGAAGCUUCAUUUUCUCAGUAUCUGCUUUUUUCUCAUUGUUGGAGAAAUUCCCUUUCUGCUCUCAACUUAAAAACUAACAUGUCUUUGAAAUAAGGAAUAUGUGCACAUGGCAGAAAACUUUAACAGAUACAAGAGUAAAAAGUAGGUCUCCUCCCCAACUCCAGCCUCCAGAGACCCUCAUAAGACGCACCACAGUACCCACGUUCUAAGGAUGCCUGUGUGCGUAUAUGUGUAGGCGCUGAAAACAGAAUGUGUCGUAUGUACAUAUUACAUCAUAUUUUCCCUUUUAACGUAGAAAUGCAGCAUGCUAUAUACCCCUUUCCCCGCUUUGUAUUGGUGAGUGAUUGAUCCACUUAUGACUUUUAGAGCUGCCUCAUUCUUCCUUAUAGUGUAUAAUAUCUAACUCGGUGCCUGUUGGUGGAUGUUUAGGUAGCUUCCAAUCCCUUGCCAUUACAGCAGUGAACACAUAUCCUUGUACACAUAUCAUUUGGCACAUGGGCAAGUGUGUCUGAAGGGGAAAUACUAAGUUAAAGGGUGUGUGAAUUUAAAAUCUUGAUAUUUAACACCAAAUUGCCCUCCAUAAAAGUUGUGCUGAUUCAUACCCCUGUACUUGGAUGAGAAUGCCUUUCCUUCACAACCUUGCCAACGUAGCCUGCUGGGUGCCAGGAAAAAAAAAAAAAGGGCUUCUUAGUAUAGUCUCCACAUGCACUUCACUUAUGCCUGAUGCUAGCGUUGCUUUCUGUGUCAAGCG